rnacentral:rRNA from 1 species
UACGUAGGGCGCAAGCGUUAUCCGGAAUCAUUGGGUUUAAAGGGUCCGUAGGCGGUUUUGUAAGUCAGUGGUGAAAGCCCAUCGCUCAACGGUGGAACGGCCAUUGAUACUGCAAGACUUGAAUUAUUGUGAAGUAACUAGAAUAUGUAGUGUAGCGGUGAAAUGCUUAGAGAUUACAUGGAAUACCAAUUGCGAAGGCAGGUUACUAACAAUAUAUUGACGCUGAUGGACGAAAGCGUGGGUAGCGAACAGG